UGGCGCUGUAAUUCCCAUACAAGGGCUUUGAAACAAGAGCAGACAUUAUCAGCGACGUAACAAUAUUUUAGAAGACGUUAUCGUUGACGUCAAAAUGCAGAUAAGACAUUAUCAGGCUUGCUUUCGUCAAGCGUAAAAUAGUCUAAGGGAAUGGAAAUAGACCAGUAAUAGAACGGUAAAAAGAUAAUCGUUUUUUUCUACAUAUUAAUAUCAUAAAAUAUCAGCUGCUCGCCACAAUGUGAAGUUUUUGUUUACUCCGAUCGCUGCGCUUACUCGCCAAAACGGUAAAACCCGAUUAUCUAUACUUCUGUGCGUUCGUUGCAUUACAUAUACCUCAAUGAACUUCAGGUAUCCUGUUUACAUAUCUGGUUUGAUACUUUCCUUCGUGCAUCUCACCACUGUGGGUUAUUUGUAAACAAGGAUAAUCUUCUUAGAAAAACAAUGCGUCAACACAUAAUUUAAAGUAGAUUAAUCAACACUGUGUAAAUGUUAGGUCUACACCGAGAUUUGGUUAAACAAUAUGAUAUGUCUUUGUCUCAACUCCCCGGAGGCAUAUUAUUUGCGAUAAUUUAUAUUUGAAAACCGCGUCGGUACGUUUUACGACUGACUAUACAGUAUUUGUGAAUUGCAUAGGUGAACGUCGCUCGUUGGUCGAUAAUUGCUUUCAUUCACUUCAAUUAAACUUUGGUUGUUAGUUGUCUCAUUUUUUAUCAUACCACUUCUCUUUUUUAUUAUAGUUCAUUAGGUGAUACUCUUUUUAGUUUAUCUUAAUUGUCUCCAUCUGAAAACACAGCUUAUUGUUCAACUUAAUUUGCGAUAGCUAAAAACACUGCAAGUACUAGUACAUUAGAAAGAACCAAUCAGUAUU
rnacentral:lncRNA from 1 species